AAAGUUGAAAGAACAUAAGGAGAUUGAAAAGAAGAGGAGUAACAGUGAUGUAACAGAAGAGUGAAGGUAAUGGACGAGGACAGAACAUGUAAUCAGGUUCAGGAUGCCAUGCACUAAUAUAUGGGGGUGAUAGACACAUUGAACAGAAGUUAUUGGGAAUAAGAAUAAGCUAAUAUAUAUAUAUAUAUAUAUAUA